rnacentral:misc_RNA from 1 species
AACGCACAUUGCACCCUCUGGUAUUCCGGGGGGUAUGCCUGUUCGAGCGUCAUUUCAACCCUCAAGCACUGCUUGGUAUUGGAUGCCACCAGAUGUGGUGCAUCCCAAAAGCAUUGGCAGUGGCGUCCAGCUUCUAGUGUAGUAAUUUUUCUUGCUUUGGAGUUUGGAUGUCCACUAGCCAGAACCCCUUAAUCUAUCAAAUGGUUGACCUCGGAUCAGGUAGGGAUACCCGCUGAACUUAA